rnacentral:lncRNA from 1 species
UUCGACAACCUCAGCACUAACAGCAGCUCCUCCGUGGAGAACAGCACAGGAUUGUUCUCCAAGUUCGCGAGAUCAGCGUCGCAAGGCUCCUCCCAGGACGGGUUUCUCAGCGCUGGCCUCUUUAGCAGACUUAAUAGGAGUGGUGGCGAGAGUGCCACCACCACCCCCACCAUCGCCACCACCACCACUCAGACAUAGUCUAUUCGUCAUUGUUGUGGAGAAGAAAAAAACUGGGAUGAUAGGAAAACUAAUGCUUUGCUACUGUAGUUUGUAGCUUUCAACUCUAACAAAGUCAGAAAGAAUGAAAG